GAAAGAAGAGCAUCCCCUCAAUCAAGCAAGCAGGCAAGCAAGCAAGACAUCAUGCCAGAAGAAGACGAUCGAUCUAGGGUUUGGAUACCAAUUGAAGGCUGCAACCGAUUCAUCUCAUCAUACGAAACAAAGCUUACUUGAUCUUAUAGGGAGAAGAAACAACCGAGAGGAGGGAUAGGGCUUUUGCCUCAAGAGUGUAAGCACAAAUGGUUUGUGGCAUAGUAGUUUGUUUAUAACCACUACAAAGAGGAAGAAGCUGCAUUGAGGGCUCAUCACGGUUUCAGUUUGGUUGGUGAGUGAGCGGAAUCUGUUCAGGAGGAGGGCGGAAGCCAAACGGGCUGAAUGAUAUAUACUGGGUUGAAACAUUUAACUAUGCGGACAAAGGGCUGACAAAAGCUUAUAGAACUACUGCCGUGGGCAAAAUCUCAAGUUACAUGUGGUGCUGUUGAUAAUUGUGUAUCGGCCCUCAUACCGUUCAUAUUUCAUAUAUCAGGAGGAUUUUAGAAUGAGAAAUCAAAAUCUAUAUAUAUUCUA
rnacentral:lncRNA from 1 species